rnacentral:misc_RNA from 1 species
GAUGAAGAACGUAGCAAAAUGCGAUAAGUAAUGUGAAUUGCAGAAUUCAGUGAAUCAUCGAAUCUUUGAACGCACAUUGCGCCCGCCAGUAUUCUGGCGGGCAUGCCUGUUCGAGCGUCAUUACAACCCUCAAGCCCCCCGGCUUGGUGUUGGGGGCCGGCCACCGGUGCCCUGCUGCUUCCGCGGCAGGCGCACCCGGCCGCCCCCGAAAUGAAUUGGCGGCCCCGUCGCGGCCUCCCUCUGCGUAGUAGCACACAUCUCGCAGCUGGAGCGCGGCGCGGCCACUGCCGUAAAACGCACCAACUUUUUUUACAGUUGACCUCGAAUCAGGUAGGAAUACCCGCUGAACUUAAGCAUAUCAAUAAGCGGAGGA